rnacentral:rRNA from 1 species
UACGAAGGGUGCAAGCGUUACUCGGAAUUACUGGGCGUAAAGCGUGCGUAGGUGGUGAGUUAAGUCUGUCGUGAAAGCCCCGGGCUCAACCUGGGAAUGGCGAUGGAUACUGGCUCGCUAGAGUGCGGUAGAGGAGAGUGGAAUUCCCGGUGUAGCAGUGAAAUGCGUAGAGAUCGGGGAGGAACAUCAGUUGCGAAGGCGGCUCUCUGGACCAGCACUGACACUGAGGCACGAAAGCGUGGGGAGCAAACAGGG